CCCUCCUCUUCCAUGAUCGGUGUCCCUCUUUCUCUCCUUCUUCUCUUUUCUCCCUCCUCCUUUCUCCUCUCCUUUCUCCAUCCAUUCUCCUCUUUCUCUGCUUUCUCUCCUUUCUCCACCCAUUCUCCUCCUCUCCUUUCUCCUCUCUUUUCUUUUCAUCUACUUCUCCUCCUCAUCCUUUAUCUCCAAACCGUCUAUAACCCAUUCUCUUACAUGGCAGCCUCCUCCCCUAGCGCGCGCGAGAG
rnacentral:lncRNA from 1 species